rnacentral:rRNA from 1 species
CCUACGGGCGGCAGCAGUGGGGAAUAUUGGACAAUGGGGGGAACCCUGAUCCAGCCAUGCCGCGUGUGUGAAGAAGGCCCUCGGGUUGUAAAGCACUUUCAGUGAGGAAGAACGCCUGGUGGUUAAUACCCAUCAGGAAAGACAUCACUCACAGAAGAAGCACCGGCUAACUCCGUGCCAGCAGCCGCGGUAAUACGGAGGGUGCGAGCGUUAAUCGGAAUUACUGGGCGUAAAGCGCGCGUAGGUGGCUUGAUAAGCCGGUUGUGAAAGCCCCGGGCUCAACCUGGGAACGGCAUCCGGAACUGUCAAGCUAGAGGGCAGGAGAGGAAGGUAGAAUUCCCGGUGUAGCGGUGAAAUGCGUAGAGAUCGGGAGGAAUACCAGUGGCGAAGGCGGCCUUCUGGACUGACACUGACACUGAGGUGCGAAAGCGUGGGUAGCAAACAGGAUUAGAUACCCUGGUAGUC